GACGAACGCUGGCGGCGUGCCUAAUACAUGCAAGUAGAACGCUGAAGCGAGGAGCUUGCUCUUCUUGGAUGAGUUGCGAACGGGUGAGUAACGCGUAGGUAACCUGCCUUGUAGCGGGGGAUAACUAUUGGAAACGAUAGCUAAUACCGCAUAACAAUGGAUGACACAUGUCAUUUAUUUGAAAGUGGCAAUUGCUCCACUACAAGAUGGACCUGCGUUGUAUUAGCUAGUAGGUGAGGUAAUGGCUCACCUAGGCGACGAUACAUAGCCAACCUGAGAGGGUGAUCGGCCCAACUGGGACUGAGACACGGCCCAGACUCCUACGGGAGGCAGCAGUAGGGAAUCUUCGGCAAUGGGGGCAACCCUGACCGAGCAACGCCGCGUGAGUGAAGAAGGUUUUCGGAUCGUAAAGCUCUGUUGUACGUCAAGAACGGGUAUGAGAGUGGAAAGUUCACACUGUGACGGUAGCUUACCAGAAAGGGACGGCUAACUACGUG
rnacentral:rRNA from 1 species